AAAAGACUUAGUCCUAACCUUACUAUUGGUUUCUACUAGACAUAUACAUGCAAGUAUCCGCACCCCAGUGAAAAUGCCCCCGAGCUUUAACUUUUUUCCCAAAGCAAAGGGAGCAGGUAUCAGGCACACCCAGCAGUUAGCCCAAGACGCCUUGCUAAGCCACACCCCCACGGGUAUUCAGCAGUAAUUAACCUUAAGCAAUGAGUGUAAACUUGACUUAGCCAUAGUAGCACCAGGGCUGGUAAAUCUUGUGCCAGCCACCGCGGUCAUACAAGAAGCCCGAAUCAAUAGCCAUCCGGCGUAAAGAGUGGCCAUAUGUUAUCUACACCAACUAAGAUCGAAAUGAAACCGAGCUGUCAUAAGCCCAAGAUACACUUAAGCCCAACCUAAAACUAUCUUAGCUAGUACGAUUAAUUUUAAUCCACGAAAGCCAGGACACAAACUGGGAUUAGAUACCCCACUAUGCCUGGCCUUAAAUCCAGAUACCUGCACACUUACUUACGUAUCCGCCCGAGAACUACGAGCACAAACGCUUAAAACUCUAAGGACUUGGCGGUGUCCUAAACCCACCUAGAGGAGCCUGUUCUGUAACCGAUAAUCCACGAUUCACCCAACCACCCCUUGCCAACACAGCCUACAUACCGCCGUCGCCAGCUCACCUCCAAUGAAAGAAUAACAGUGAGCCCAACAGCUCCCCGCUAACAAGACAGGUCAAGGUAUAGCCCAUGGGGUGGAAGAAAUGGGCUACAUUUUCUACCAUAGAACAAACGAAAAAGGGCAUGAAACUAGCCCUUGGAAGGAGGAUUUAGCAGUAAAGUGAGAUCACCCUAAGCCCACUUUAAGAUGGCCCUGGGACACGUACAUACCGCCCGUCACCCUCUUCAAAAGCUACCAUCCCUGAUAAAUAAUGUCUGCCCAAAGCCAAAGACGAGGUAAGUCGUAACAAGGUAAGUGUACCGGAAGGUGUACUUAGCCCAC
rnacentral:ncRNA from 1 species